rnacentral:tRNA from 1 species
UGUGGUGUGGCUCAGUGGUAGAACGCUCACCUAGCAUUUUUGAGGCCCUGAGUUCGAUCCUCAGCGCCACAU